AAUGGCCGCGGUAACUUGACCGUGCAAAGGUAGCAUAAUUAUUAGUCUUUUAAUUGAAGGCUUGAAUGAACGAUUGAAUGAAAAAUAAACUUUAUUAAUAAAAAUAAUUUAACUUAAAAUUUAAGUAAAAAUUCUUAAAUAAUUAAGUGGGACAAGAAGACCCUAUAGAGUUUGAAUAUUUUUAUUAUUGUAAAAUUAAAGAAUCAAUUUUAUUUUAAACUAAUAAAAAAAAAUUUGUUGGGGUGACAUUAAAAUUUAAUUAACUUUUAAUUAAUAUAACAUUAAUAUAUGUUUUUUGAUCCAAUAUUUUGAUUAAAAGAUUAAAUUACCUUAGGGAUAACAGCGUUAUUAAUUUGAAGAGUUCAAAUCGAUAAAUUAGUUUGCGACCUCGAUGUUGGAUUAAGAAAAAAUUUUGGAGCAAUAUUUAAAAAUUUUAGGUCUGUUCGACCUUUAAAUUCUUACG
rnacentral:rRNA from 1 species